UUGGUUUCACAAUGCCCUGCUUCAUUUUAGGUUUUCCAAAUUUCUCCUCUGCUUCUCUCAUUUCUUCAGUCUUUUCAUGUUCACUGUCUUCUUCAUUGACUCUUUCAAAUUCAAGCUUCUUAAUUGUAUUUUGUGGUAAGUUUUUCUCGCUUUUUUCUUCCUUAGUUUUUUUUUUUUGCUUCAAUAUUUUUCUUGUGCAAUUACUGAUAUUUUUAGAGAAUAUAAAGACAUGAAGUUUACAGAUGUGACCAUUUUUAUUUUCACUGAUCCAUUUGUGGAAAGGAAAAUUGGAUGAAAAUGACUAUAAACAAAAUAAUAUUUAACAACCAUCCAAACAAGUUGUUGAUGAAGAUGGAGAUACUGUUGCUCAAAUUUCGACAUACAUUCAUCAUCUGAAUCAAAUUUUGAUAUUUAUUCUUUUAGGUUAUUGUUCUCUAUUGUAUUUUCUCUAUAAAUAAUAUAUGAAUGUCAAUAGUAUUUUCUGAUUUAUUCAUGCAUCUUCACGAAUAAAUACUCAAGUUUCCUUAGUGCACCAAGGGUGUUUGAUAAUAUGCCUACAUCGAGAUGGAUCUUUGAUUCAGCACUAAAGGUUGGUCAAGCUGUGAACUAAUAAUUAUUUUUCCGUUCCUCGCUUCUUAGUGAACUUUUUUGUACUGUUGAAGGGAGAGAGGUAGAAAAGAGAUAUGCGAUACAGAAAUAUCAAGACAAAUAAAUAAAUGUCUUUUUUUCCUUUUCUUAAGUGAAGGAGAAAAGGAAAAAACAUAUGAUUGUUAUUUGUGGAAUUUGAACCUUUCAAUUCCAGGUAGAGUUUAAGUUAUUCAUAAAAUGAAUUCACCCUCAACUCCCUCUAAUUCUAUAUAGAAGCAACAUUACGUGCCUCAUUAUGAAAAAUCAUUUUUUUCCCAUUUUAUCACAGCUAAACUGGAAGGACCAAAGUUAUUUUCUUGCUUCCUGGAAUAAGAAUACAAGAGGGUACUUGAAUGUUUCUCAUAAUAUCAAAUAAUUUAGAAUAAUUGAAGGAUAUUCUCUAGAUUUGGUAACAACAUUUGAUGUUGGACCUAAUUAAUGUGCGGAAUGAUAGUUAAGUUAUCCGUAUGCGGUCAUCAUCAGUUGUAUUGGGUUAUGAAUGCUAACGAUAUGAAAUAAUGCAUUUAUUGCAAAUGAUGUACCUUUACAUUUGAGUUUUAUACAUGAUCAAUGUAAAUAUUUUUUGCACUAUCAGGUUAGCAGAUUUACAUUAACCUUCUUGAUAAAAUGUGCUACCCACAUGUAAAAAUUAUUUACGUUACGUUGACAAUGUAUAUUAUUUAUUAAACUCAUAUGUUUUAUUGUGCUUUCUAUUCUGGCUUUGAAAUUUGGGGCUGAGAAAAAGGUUGGGAUGUUCAUUGUUCAACUAAUUUGAGAUAUUAGACGAUGCUAUUGAUGUAAUGAAAUUGGAAGAUGGUGUAAUUCAAAACAUGGUAAAGUCUCUGAUUUGUAUUCACAAGUUGCAAUUCUUGAUGUUUUUCAUUGUAUUGAGUUAUUUUUCAUAAUAUUGACAAUUUUGACAAAUCUACAAUGAUUUUAACUCCACUAUAUACAUACUUGGUCGCCCAUGGAAGUAGUUUGAAAAGAUAAUUCAGCAAUUAUUUGGAAACCUUUCCUCAUGUUGGGAACCAAAAUGAGGUACAAGAAGCAAUGUAAAGUGUACUUCAAAUAGAACUUGAGUUGUACGAGUAGGGUUAAAAUAGUAAAUUCACUUUAUUCACUCUCUCACCUCUGCUUCUACUCUUUCUUCACUGCCUGACAACAUUGACAACCAUUUUAAACCUUCAACGGAGUUAAACUUUACUUCAGAGUCUCACUCCAACUUCUAAAGUUCUUUCAAUUGUUUACCUGGUAAGUAUUCUUGUGUGGUAUUGGCCCUCUUCCCUUAUGAAUUUUUACUCUUUUUUUUUUCAUUAUUGUGUUUAUGCUUCCUAUUAUUCUACUGAUUUUUCUUAUUUAUAGGUCUUCCACAAUUUUUCUUGAAUUCUUUUGAGUUCUUAUAGAUGCCUCUUGAAAUACAUGCAUAAUUUUGUUUUCAAUAUUUUGCAGUUUCUAACUCUAAAAUACUAAAAAUAUUAGUAGUAUUUUCUUAUCAAUAUAUGAUACUUUUUGCAGAUAAUUAAUGGCUUGAUGCGGUUGCAUGUUUGACGAAAUUUCCCGUGAAGGUAAGACUUGUGUGUUAUGAAGAGAGAUUAGUUACAAGAGUUGAUUGUUUUGGCAGAUGAUUCAAGGUGCUAAUGAAGUUGAACGGUGGGCUUAGGUGAAUAGACAUUUUCCCUUAUAAUAUCUUUUUUCCAUAUGGCAUCUUCCCCAAAAAAAAUUGAGAAAGAAUUUGAGUUGCCGAAUUCUUUGAUGCUGCCAUGAAAUUAGAAGUGAUAAUGUAAUGCUGAAAAUUCAGGGUAAGCUUUCAGUAUUGAUCUUUUUGUUGUUUGAACUACAUUUUUGAAAAAAAUCAGCUACUAAUAUAGUAAGUUGAGGUGGUAUUCAAAGACAAAUUGUUUAAAUACAAAGUCAGAAUAACAAGCAGGUUGAAUCAGGCGAAAAGGUUGAUUUCUGGCUCUCCAAUUUCCAAGUCCUUUAAGGAACCAUUCCACAUUUUCUUAAGAACCUUUAAACUUUUGGCAAUGGACCGUGAUGUUGGUGUCGCAUUUAUUUUUAGCAGUUGUUCUUGGAUAAAAGCUGGAACUUUAAUAUUGAAAAUUCUGUUACUAGAUUGAGUUCUAGAAGUCUGUCAUAUGAUCUUAUGCUUUCUCAAAGUUUUUGUUUCAUGUGUUCAUAUUAGUUAGAUACAAUUGAUAAUGUUAAAAAUAUUUUUCAUCUGAUCAAUCCAGAAAAAAAUGAACAUAAGAAAUGUAGCAAAUAAGUAAUAAUGUUGACGCUAGAAUUUUUUUGAGAAAUGAGUGAGUAAUAAAAUGUCCGGGUAAUGGAAGAAUCCUAUAAGACUAUUAAUUUAACGCAGAAACAAACUCUUUUCUUUAAUCUUGAGUUUGUUGAUCAAGAAUAGCUACUAACUCCUAAACUUUUUUAUAUCAUACGUGAAAUAGGAGUAGUAAUUUGAGUAUGCAAUAUAAUAAUAUUGUGUUAAGAGUGCUGUCAUAUGCUUUUUAUAGAGAAAUAUCAACUUCAUGUUUUCUCUUUUAUUUGUAGCAUAAUAUUCUUUCAUCAGAAUUUUGUGUCAUGGUCAUUAAUGGGUUCCUUCUUUUGCUUAUUGCAUUUGAAGGUUUGGCAAUGAAAUAGAUGAAAAAAAUGGAGGUUUUGCUUGAUCCAAGUAUGAGCUCUAAAAUGUAUGUGUUUAUCUUUCGCAAACAUUUUUAGCUAAUUUAUUCUCACAUUCAUUUGUUUUUGAAUAUUUUUACUCUUUCCAUGUCCCUCAAUAGAAGUAAAACAAACAUUUAUUUUGUAUUUCACGAGAGACAAUUUUGUAUAUGAGAUGUAGGUGAGACGAAGAGAAGCUGACAUUUUUAGUAUGUGCUCUUUCUAUGUCCCCAAAUUAAGAAGCAUAAGGAUAGGUAGAGCAUGAGCUCUUGCAGACUAAGUUGUUGUAUUAUAUGUUAAAUGUAAUAAAAGGAUUUUCUUAGUGGUUUAUACAACAUCAAUGUAAUAUUAUGUUAUUCAAACUUAAGGUCUGAUUUGAUUGUGAACUUUGGGCGGCCCAAAGUAAGAAAUGAACUUUUUGUUUUAGAACUACCAACUUCCAUAUUUGAAUGUGUAGCAGCCAUUAAAAAGAUAUCGAUUGAGUGCUUAUAACUUUAAGGUGGAAUAGAACUACAAAAAGUUAGGGUUGAUGUUCAUAAAAUAAACAAAUGGUGAAGCUUGCCAAUUGUAAAUCAAAUAUGUACAAAUAGUUGAACUGGUCGGUACUGACAGGUACAACCUUUGGUAUUUUUAUACAUAUGUUUGGAAAACACUUGCCUAAAUUUCCAUUUUGCAAAAAUAGGAGGAUUGACAGUAAUCUCAAUUUCAAUUGGUGGAUAGUUAUGAGAGUAAAAAUUAUUAAAUGAGUUUAGAUGAUUAAUAUACAAAGUGAAAACGUGAGAGAUCUACUAUUGAGUUCUUGUCAUAUCAGAGUCAACAACUUUGUUCGAACUGAUCGUUACACGCUUGUGAACAAUUUUGUAAAAAUAACCUAAAAAAUAAAGAGUUACAAGUGACUAUACAAACUCUUACAUGGAACUCUGGUGAACAACUCAUGCCUUUGAUUUGCUUCACUAUAUUAUGUUCGAAUACCACUUGAUUGUAUGAAGAGCUCCUACUUUGUUUUACUCAAUUUAUUCUAGGAUGUGAAAGUGAGUUUGCCUUAUAUGGGUCAAUUUAUGCAUACUGAACGUCAACAUCAGUUGUGGUAUUAGGUGUAUUAAACUUUAUUGCUGAAAUAUUGUAAAGAUGUACAAUUUCUCAAAUGGGUGGAUUUGUUGAUCUCCACAACCAACUAUACAAGAAUAUUGGAAACAAAUGGAAUUGGGUAUUUCAAAACAGGGAAGUCAUAUUUGUCGCGUUGGAAAAUUCGUCGUUUUUGCUUAUUUGUUUCUGGUGUGAAGGCUGAAAACUUUAUCUAAACUAUCAUGUGUGUGUGAGA
rnacentral:lncRNA from 1 species